rnacentral:rRNA from 1 species
CCUACGGGAGGCUGCAGUGGGGAAUAUUGCACAAUGGGCGCAAGCCUGAUGCAGCCAUGCCGCGUGUGCGAAGAAGGCCUUCGGGUUGUAAAGCACUUUCAGCGGGGAGGAAGGCGGUGAGGUUAAAAACCUCAUCGAUUGACGUUACCCGCAGAAGAAGCACCGGCUAACUCCGUGCCAGCAGCCGCGGUAAUACGGAGGGUGCAAGCGUUAAUCGGAAUUACUGGGCGUAAAGCGCACGCAGGCGGUCUGUCAAGUCGGAUGUGAAAUCCCCGGGCUCAACCUGGGAACUGCAUUCGAAACUGGCAGGCUAGAGUCUUGUAGAGGGGGGUAGAAUUCCAGGUGUAGCGGUGAAAUGCGUAGAGAUCUGGAGGAAUACCGGUGGCGAAGGCGGCCCCCUGGACAAAGACUGACGCUCAGGUGCGAAAGCGUGGGGAGCAAACAGGAUUAGAUACCCGGGUAGUC